rnacentral:rRNA from 1 species
GCUCAGAAACUUAAAGGAAGUUGACGGGGCCCGCACAAGCGGUGGAGUAUGUGGUUUAAUUCGAUGCAACGCGAAGAACCUUACCUGGUCUUGACAUCCCGGAGACCCUUAGGAAACUAGGGGGUGCUUCCAUCUGGAAGAAUCUGGAGACAGGUGCUGCAUGGCUGUCGUCAGCUCGUGUCGUGAGAUGUUGGGUUAAGUCCCGCAACGAGCGCAACCCUUGCCUUUAGUUGCCAGCAGUUCGGCUGGGCACUCUAAAGGGACUGCCGGUGCUAAACCGGAGGAAGGUGGGGAUGACGUCAAGUCCUCAUGGCCUUUAUGACCAGGGCUACACACGUACUACAAUGGCCGAUACAAAGGGCAGCGACACUGCGAGGUGAAGCCAAUCCCGUAAAAUCGGUCUCAGUCCGGAUUGGAGUCUGCAACUCGACUCCAUGAAGUUGGAAUCGCUAGUAAUCGUGGAUCAGCAUGCCACGGUGAAUACGUUCCCGGGCCUU